ACGGCGAGUGAAGCGGCAACAGCUCAAAUUUGAAAUCUGGCCUCGGCCCGAGUUGUAAUUUGCAGAGGAUGCUUUUGGUGCGGUGCCUUCCGAGUUCCCUGGAACGGGACGCCACAGAGGGUGAGAGCCCCGUAUGGUCGGACACCAAUCCUGUGUAAAGCUCCUUCGACGAGUCGAGUAGUUUGGGAAUGCUGCUCUAAAUGGGAGGUAAAUCUCUUCUAAAGCUAAAUACCGGCCAGAGACCGAUAGCGCACAAGUAGAGUGAUCGAAAGAUGAAAAGCACCUUGAAAAGGGGGUUAAACAGUACGUGAAAUUGUUGAAAGGGAAGCACUUGUGACCAGACUUGGGCCGGGCGGCUCAUCAGGGGUUCUCCCCUGUGCAUUCCGCCCGGUACAGGCCAGCAUCGGUUCUUACCGGGGGAUAAGAACGGCAGGAACGUGGCUCCCUCUCGGGGGAGUGUUAUAGCCUGCCGUACGAUACCCUGGCGGGGACCGAGGUUCGCGCUUCCGCAAGGAUGCUGGCGUAAUGGUUACUAGUGACCCGUCUUGAAACACGGACCAAGGAGUCGUCCAUUAGAGCGAGCGUUUGGGUGUAAAACCCGCACGCGUAAUGAAAGUGAAAUUAGGUGAGAGCUUCGGCGCAUCAUCGACCGAUCCUGAUGUUCUCGGAUGGAUUUGAGUAAGAGUUUUAACGGACGGACCCGAAAGACAGUGAACUAUGCUUGUAUAGGGUGAAGCCAGAGGAAA
rnacentral:rRNA from 2 species